ensembl:lncRNA
ACAAAACGCACAGCAACACAGCAAACGUAGCAAAACAAAUAUUGUGAGAACAUUAUUUUCCUAAGUGCUGCCAACUGAAACAUUCCGAUUGCAUAUAGCCUACCAUCAGAUGUACAGCUGUAUUACACAUUUUACUGCAUAUGCCAUUUGAAGCGUGACUAAUUACCAGGUAACAAUGUAUUGAUGCAUGUAAAAGAAUAAGAGGAUGUCCAGGCCAUGCAAAUGCUAAUGAUUUAUGUACUUAACACAAGAUUACACAGCCUGAGAGAAAAAUGUAAUGGACAUGAGCAAAAUAGUGAGCCUUUACGCGAGAAGGCUUACAGGUCUGGGAACAUUACAAAUACAGAAGAAGCCUAACUGACUUUGUCUCGUAUGGUUUUAGACAGUCUUCACACUGACAAACCAUUGUUACAAUCUUUAUAACAUGGAUUCACACCUUUCAAAUGUCUGCAAACAUACAAAUGGUUUUAAUAGCCUUGAAACCUCUUUCGACAAACACAUAGGAGAGUAUCCAUUGACGACGUGUUCUUCACGGUUAUACAACCAUUGUUUAGGUGAACUGGCACAGAUAGCAAGGGGACCUCCCAUGUGAUAUGUGAAAACACAGUAGACUUGCAUCCCAUAAACUUUAAUAGAAAACUAUACAAAUGAAUCUGGAAAGCAGAAUUAAAAACUAGGGUUACAUGCUUCUUUGUUUGUAUCUAUUGAUACAUUUGUUAACUUACAAAUAAUCAAAGGAAUUAAAUAAACGACAUGCUGAACAUUUCUCCAAGCUAACAAAAAUAUUUGUAAUGAAUUUCACUGUAACUACAUGGUAGUUAGAAGUAAUCUGCGGUACUUACAAGGUGUAUUUCUGUGGCUCUUAGGACCUCAACUUCCAAUAUUCUAAGGAUUCAUGUAAGAUAUAUCCGGUAUUGCACAUUGUUACUUAUUCAUGGUAAAAAGAAAAACAAUACCUUUCACAUUGCCCACUGUGGUGGUGCUGGAUUAUUAGUCAGGAUAAUUAAUUGCCUUUAUAUUGAAUAUGAUGAAUGACAAACAUGCUUGACAAUUAACAGAUUGCUAUUAUCGUUACUUCAUACACCAGGCUAUGUUCAUAGGAAACUGCCUAAACAGACAUAUUGGUAACACAUAUCUAUGUUAUGCUACACGACGUAUGAUGGACAUAUAACAGGUUAUCAGAAACUAACUAUAAUAAAAAAUGUAUGUAGUUGCCCAAAAAAUAUAUGAACUUCAUCAUCCCUGCUGUCCUUGGCAACCAACACUAAUGAUAGGAGACAUCAUAUUCAGAGGAUGAAAAACUAUCAUCUGAGGGCUGUAAUAUGAACUAGAAUCUUCCUAGAAUAUAUUCUACUGAUCAACCUAUCCCAUUGAAAAGAAAAAUCAGUACAUAAUCAACAACCAACGGCGGUAUCUGAGAGCUCUUAAGUAUUAAUUUUAUAUGAAUUCUCUAUGCUAAAAGUGUAUGGGGCACAUUGAUUCCAAUCAGUGUGCAAAGCUGUUAUCAAGUCAAAGGGUGGCUACUUUUGAAUAAUCUAAAAUAUAUUUUGACUUGUUUAACAAUUAUUUUGCUUACUACAUGAUUCCAUAUGUGUUAUUUCAUAGUUUUGAUGUCUUCACUAUUAUUCUACAAUGUGGAAAAUAGUAAAUAUAAAGAAAAACCCUCGAAUGAGUACAUGUGUCUAAACUUUUGACUAGUACAUAAGUAUUCAGACUCUUUGCUAUGACUCUCGAAAUUGAGUUCAGGCGCAUCCUGUUUCCAUUGAUCAUCCUUGAGAUUUUUCUACAACUUGAUUGGAGUCCACCUGUCGUAAAUUACAUUUAUUGGACUGGAUUUGGAAAAUCACACACCUGUCUAUAUAAGGUCCCUCAGUAGACAGAGCAUGUCAGAGCAAAUAUCAAGCCAUUAGGUCGAAGGACUUGCUCGUAGAGCUCAGAGACAGGAUUGUGUCGAGGCACAGAUCUGGGGAAUGGUAUCAAAAAAAGUCUGCAGCAUUGAAGGUCCCCCAAAACACAGUGGCCUCUCUCAUUCUUAAAUGGAAAACAUUUAGAACCACAAAGACUCUUGCUACCUUGAGCUCUUCCGGCCAAACUUAGCAAUCGGGGAAGAAGGGCCUUGGUCAGGGAGGUGACCAAGAAAAAGAACCUUCUAGAAGGACAACCAUCUCUGCAGCACUCCAAUCAGGUCUUUAUGGUAGAGUUGCCAGACGGAAUCCACUCCUCAGGAAAGACACAUGACAGGCUACUUGGAGUUUGCUGAAAUGAGGGCUUUUCAUGAGAAACAAAUUUCUCUGGUCUGAUGAAACCGAGAUUGAACUCUUUGGCCUAAAUGUGAAGAGUCACGUCUGGAGGAAACAUGGUAACAUCCCUACAGUGAAUCAUGGUGGUGGCAGCAUCAUGCUGUGAGGACGUUUUUCAUCGGUAGGGACUGGGAGACUAGUCACGAUCGAGGGAAAGAUGAACGGAGCAAAGUACAGAGAGAUACUUGAUGAAAACUUGCUCCAGCUCGCUCAGGAUAUCAGACUGGGGUGAAGGUUCACCUUCCAUCAGGACAACGACCCUAAGCACACAGCCAAGACAAUGCAGGAGUGGCUUCGGGACAAGUCUCCUUGAAAGUCCUUUAGUGGCCCAGCUUGAACCUGAUCAAAUAUCUCUGGAGAUACCUGAAAUAGCUGUGGAGCGUCACUCCCCAUCCAACCAGACAAAGCUUGAGAGGAUCUGCAGAGAAGAACGGGAGAAACUCCCCAUAUUCAGGUGUGCCAAGCUUGUAGUCUCAUACCCAAGAAGACUUGGGGCUGUAAUCGCUGCCAAAAUAGAUUCAACAAAGUACUGAGUAAAGGGUCUGAAUACUUAUGUAAAUAUAAUGUUUCAGAAAGAAGGCCAGCAUCCCGUUGUCGCCUCUUCACUGUUGACAUUGAGACAGGUGUUUUGCGGGUACUAUUUAAUAAAGCUGCCAAUUGAGGACCUUUGAGUUGUCUGUUUCUCAAACUAGACACUGUAAUCUCCUUGUCCUCUUGCUUAGUUGUGCACCGGGGCCUCCCACUCAUCUUUCUAUUCUGAUUAGAGCCAGUUUGCGCUGUUCUGUGAAGGGCGUAAGCACACCACGUUUACAAGAUCUUCAGUUUCUUGGCAAUUUCUCACAUGGAAUAGCCUUAAUUUCUCAGCACAAGAAUAGACUCACAAGUUUCAGAAGAAAGUACUUUGUUUCUGAACUUUUUGAGCCUGUAAUCGAGCCCACAAAUGCUGAUGCUCCAGAUACUCAACUAGUAUAAAAAAGGCCAGUUUUAUUGCUUCUUUAAUCAGCACAACUGUCACGCCCUGACCUGAGUAUUCUUUACUUUCUUUAUUGUUUGGUUAGGUCAGGGUGUGACAUGGGUGAUGUAUGUGUUUUUGUACUGUCUAGGGGUUUUGUAGGUUUAUGGGGUUGUUUAUCAUCUAGGUGUUUUAUAUGUGUCUAUGGUUGCCUAGAUUGGUUCUCAAUUAGAGGCAGGUGUUUAUCGUUAUCUCUGAUUGGGAACCAUAUUUAGGCAGCCAUCUUCUUUGGGUAUUUCUUGGGUUAUUGUUUUGUUGUUUUGUUGUUUGUUUAUUGUCCGUCUUUAUUAAAAUGUAUAACAUGUAUUCUAAUCACGCUGCGCUUUGGUCUCCUCUUUACGACUGUGACAACAACAGUUUUCAGCUGUGCUAACAUAAUUGCAAAAGGGUUCUCUAAUGAUCUAUUAACCUUUUAAAAGGAUAAACUUGGAUUAGCUAAUAUAACGUGCCAUUGGAACACAGGAGUGAUGGUUGCUGAUAAUGAGCCUCUGUACGCCUAUGUAGAUAUUCCAUUAAAAAUAUGCUGUUUCCAGCUACAAUAGUCAUUUACAACCUUAACAAUGUCUACACUGUAUUUCUGAGAAAUGUUAUGUUAUUUUAACGGACAAAAAAAAUGCUUUUCUUUCAGAAAAAAGGACAUUUCAAAGUGACCUCAAACUUUUGAACGGUAGUGUACAUUUAAUCAGUCAAAAGUAUGGACACAUCUACUGAUUCAAGGGUUUUUCCUUAUUUUUACUAUUUUCUACAUUAUAAAAUAAUAGUGAAGACAGUAAAACAAUGAAAUAACACUUAUGGAAUCAUGUAGUAACCAACAAAAGUGUUUAACAGAUUCUUCAAAGUAGCCACCCUUCGCGUUGAUGACAGCUUUGCACCCUCUUAGCAUUCUCUCAACUAGCUUCACCUGGAAUGCAUUUCAAUUUACAGGUGUGCCUUGUUAUAAGUUCAUUUGCAGGAUUUCUUUCUUUCUUAAAUGCAUUUGAGCCAAUCAGUUGUGUUGUGACAAGGUAGGGGUGGUAUACAGAAGAUAAACUGUUUGGUAAAUGGCCAAGUCCAUGUUAUGGCAAAAACAGCUCAAAUAAGCAAAGAGAAACAACAGCCAAUCAUUACUUUAAGUCAUGAAGGUCAGUCAAUCCGGAAAAUUAAGAACUUUAAAAGUUCCUUCCAGUGCAGUCGCAAAAACCAUCAAGCGCUAUGAUGAAUCUGGCUCUCAUGAGGAACGCCACAGGAAAAGAAGAACCCAGAGUUACCUCUGCUGCAGAGGAUAAGUUCAUUCAAGUUAACAGCACCUCAUAUUGCUGUGACAUGGCGAGGUUGGACCCAGGUGCAGAGAAGAGACCAGACCCAACAAGAUUCCCUGCAUCAAUUACUAUACCCUUAACCAAUAUUUGUAUCCCCCAUCCUUCCCUGUCACCCCUUGUCCUGAUUCAGGACUACCCCCACAGUGAACCAUCUGUGCUCCUUCCACCUCCAAUUCUGUGAGUCACGAGAAUUUAAUUUAAAAAAAAAAUAUAUAUAACCAUCAGUGGUUAAGGAUAAACAUAAAUACAUUACUGAGAAACAGUAGCCACAGGAUCACAGUACACUGGUAAAAAACAAACAAAUACUAAGUCUCUAAAACUCACUCAGGAAACAAAAGCACAUGGUAAACAAUUCAAUCUUCUGUAAAGAGAAACGGAAAACACACCUCUUUUAAAGGGGAAAUCAUAAUGAGUAAUAGAGUGCACCGAAGUGUCAAAAUUGUCUCUAGGAUGGUCGCUGACGCCCUCUGUUGACAAGUUGAACCAUGACAAUUGCAGCCCAAAUAAAUGCUUCACAGAGUUCAAGUAACAGACACUGCGUGAAUCAGGCCUUCAUGGUCGAAUUGCUGCAAAGAAACCACUACUAAAGGACACCAAUAAGAAGAAGAGCCUUGCUUGGGCCAAGAAACACGAGCAAUGUACAUUAGACCGGUGGAAAUCUGUCCUUUGGUCUGAUGAGUCCAAAUUUGAGAUUUUUGGUUCGAACCGCCAUGUCUUUUUGAGACGCAGAGAAGGUGAACGGAUGAUCUCCGCAUGUGUGGUUCCCACCGUGAAGCAUGGAGGAGGUGUGAUGGUGUGGGGGUGCUUUGCUUGUGAAACUCUCAGUGUUUUAUUUAGAAUUCAAGACACACUUAACCAAUUAUGGCUACCACAGCAUUCUGCAGCAAUACGCCAUCCCAUCUUGUUUGCACAUAGUGUUACUAUCAUUUGUUUUUCAACAGAACAAUGAACCAAAACACCCCUCCAGGCUGUAUAAGGAAUAGUUGAUCAAGAAGGAGCAUGAUGGAGUGCUGCAUCAGAUGACCUGGCCUCCACAAUCAACCGACCUCAACCCAAUUGAGAUGGUUUGGGAUGAGUGUAGGAAAAGCAGCCAACAAGUGUCAGUAUAUGUUGGAACUCCUUCAAGACUUUUGGAAAAGCAUUCCUCAUGAAGCUGGUUAAGAUAAUGCCAAGAGGUUGCAAAGCUGUCAUCAAGGCAAAGGUUGGCUACUUUGAAGAAUCUCAAAUAUAAAUAUGUUUUGAUUUGAUAAACACUUUUUUGGUUACAACAUGAUUCCAUAUGUUAUUUCAUAGCUUUGAUGUCUUCCCUA